AGAGUUUGAUCCUGGCUCAGAUUGAACGCUGGCGGCAGGCCUAACACAUGCAAGUCGAACGGCAGCAGCAUUCAAGCUUGCUUGAAUGGCUGGCGAGUGGCGGACGGGUGAGUAACACGUAGGAAUCUGCCCAGCAGUGGGGGAUAACCCGGGGAAACUCGGGCUAAUACCGCAUAAGCCCCGUGGGGGAAAGCGGGGGAUCUUCGGACCUCGUGCUGUUGGAUGAGCCUACGCCGGAUUAGCUAGUUGGUAGGGUAAUUGCCUACCUAGGCGACGAUCCGUAGCUGGUCUGAGAGGAUGAUCAGCCACACUGGGACUGAGACACGGCCCAGACUCCUACGGGAGGCAGCAGUGGGGAAUAUUGCACAAUGGGCGAAAGCCUGAUGCAGCCAUGCCGCGUGUGUGAAGAAGGCCUUCGGGUUGUAAAGCACUUUCAGAGGGGAAGAAAAUUGCGGGGUUAAUACCCCUGUAACUUGACGGUACCCUCAGAAGAAGCACCGGCUAAUUCCGUGCCAGCAGCCGCGGUAAUACGGAAGGUGCAAGCGUUAAUCAGAAUUACUGGGCGUAAAGCGCGCGUAGGUGGUUUGGUAAGUCAGAUGUGAAAGCCCCGGGCUCAACCUGGGAACUGCAUUUGAUACUGCCAGACUAGAGUGUGAUAGAGGGAAGUGGAAUUCCGAGUGUAGCGGU
rnacentral:rRNA from 1 species